rnacentral:rRNA from 1 species
GACGGAGGGUGCAAGCGUUAUCCGGAAUCACUGGGCGUAAAGCGUAUGUAGGCGGUUUGGUAAGUCGGGGGUUAAAUUUUCAUGCUCAACGUGAAAACUGUUUCCGAAACUGCCAAGCUACGAAGAGUGCAGAGGCAAGCGGAAUUCUGAGUGUAGGGGUAAAAUCCGUAGAUACUCGGAGGAACGCCAAAAGCGAAAGCAGCUUGCUGGGCAUUUCUUGACGCUGAGAUACGAAAGCGUGGGGAGCAAACAGGAUUAGAAACCCC